rnacentral:rRNA from 1 species
AUUGAACGCUGGCGGCAUGCUUUACACAUGCAAGUCGAACGGUUGAGGGGGCAACCCCUUGAGAGUGGCGAACGGGUGAGUAAUGCAUCGGAACGUGCCCAGUCGUGGGGGAUGACGCAGCGAAAGCUGUGCUAAUACCGCAUACGAUCUCUGGAUGAAAGCGGGGGACCGAAAGGCCUCGCGCGAUUGGAGCGACCGAUGGCAGAUUAGGUAGUUGGUGGGGUAAAGGCUCACCAAGCCAACGAUCUGUAGCUGGUCUGAGAGGACGAACAGCCACACUGUGACUGAGACACGGCCCAGCCGCCGACGGGAGGCAGCAGUGGGGAAUUUUGGACAAUGGGCGCAAGCCUGAUCCAGCAAUGCCGCGUGCAGGAAGAAGGCCUUCGGGUUGUAAGCUGCUUUUGUACGGAACGAAAAGGUCUGGGUUAAUACCCUGGGCACAUGACGGUACCGUAAGAAUAAGCACCGGCUAACUACGUGCCAGCAGCCGCCGUAA